rnacentral:rRNA from 1 species
UACGGAGGGAGCUAGCGUUGUUCGGAAAUACUGGGCGUAAAGCGCACGUAGGCGGCGCAGCAAGUCAGGGGUGAAAUCCCGGGGCUCAACCCCGGAACUGCCCUUGAAACUGCAGUGCUAGAAUUCUGGAGAGGCGAGUGGAAUUCCGAGUGUAGAGGUGAAAUUCGUAGAUAUUCGGAAGAACACCAGUGGCGAAGGCGACUCGCUGGACAGACAUUGACGCUGAGGUGCGAAAGCGUGGGGAGCAAACGGG